ensembl:snRNA U6 U6 spliceosomal RNA
GUGCCUGCUUUGGCAGGACAUGUACUAAAGUUGGAAUGAGACAGAGAUUAGCAUGGCCCCUGCCAAAAAUGACAUGCAAAUUCAAGAGGCAUUUCAUAUUUUU